GGAUUAGAUACCCUGGUAGUCCACGCAGUAAACGUUGUUCACUAGGUGUAGCGGGUAUUGACCCCUGCUGUGCCGCAGUUAACGCAUUAAGUGAACCGCCUGGGGAGUACGGCCGCAAGGUUAAAACUCAAAGGAACUGACGGGGGCCCGCACAAGCGGUGGAGCAUGUGGUUUAAUUCGACGCAACGCGAAGAACCUUACCUGGAUUUGACAUCCCGGGAAUUAUAUCGAAAGACUUAAGUGCCCUUCGGGGAGCCCGGAGACAGGUGCUGCAUGGCUGUCGUCAGCUCGUGUCG
rnacentral:rRNA from 1 species